rnacentral:lncRNA from 1 species
AAUUAUUUAAUUUCAUCUUCAUCCUAGAUUAAAGAAAUUAGCUAGACAUAAAAAAUAAUUAAACUAACUAAAAUAAAGAAAAGAAGAAGAUUAAAAAUAAAUAAGAAAUCUCUAUUUAAUUAACGAUCAUCCAACGAAAGUACAAUGAAGAAGUAAUUUAAUCUACUCCUACUCAUAUUCUAAACUAAUACAAUACCUAAUUCUUCUGUCUUUCUAAAACAAGAGAUCUAUUUAUAGGAAAAAUAAGUUUGAACCCUAAUUUAGAUUCAUUGAACUUGGACACUUUUGUUCCCUUUCCAUAUAGGUUUCAACUUCCUAGUGAGAAUCAACUUCUCAAAGAGAUCUUCUAAAUAAACUUUCUUUUCUCUUGUUGGAUUUAACUUGCACACCAAAAUUGUUCCACCUCCUUCCUUCUCCUUGCAAAAUUCUUCUUAGAUAUUCCUUACAUGAAUAAGAGCAUUAAAUAUCGCUUGAUCACCAAGAUUUUAACUUUAUUGCAACAAAUAUUAAAUUCUACAAAAUAAAAUAAAUCAUAUUAAUUUAAUAAACUGAUAUAAUUAAAAUGACAUAAUAAGGGAUAAUAAAAUAUAUGAUAUAUGUGUCUAUCACCAUUCAUCAUUAAAACUCACAUAUUACCUUGAUAAAUUCCUGAUCAAACAUAGCCUCUACUUCAAAGUCUGAUGCUACAUUUUCAACUAGCGGAAGUUCACUCUAAACAAAUAAAUAAUAAGAGAUGAAGUCAUGGAUAGUGGAUUGAAUUAACAAUGGAAAAUUCUAUAGGCCCACAUGCUUUAAAAAUUAAGCUAAAGAGAUACAUUAUGACUGUAACCAUGUGUAAUUUUUAUACAUGAAUCUUCAUUGCUACAUAUUUUUUUAGUAAAUUUUAGAAAUUUAUUCCUAAAAAUUAGAUUAACAACUUAUUUUAAUGUUUAAAUAAUAACCCAAAUCAAAGUAAAUUUCAGAUUCCAAUGAGGUAAUGCCACAAAGUACUUUCGUGUAACAGUAAAAACUCAAUCAUAACAAUAAAUAAAUAAAUAAAUAAAUAAAUAAAUAAAGUGGAGAAAUAACUUACAGCCUUGACAACUAAGCUGCAACGGGAGUGAGAAGAGAUAGAACUAGAUUGGAGGGGCUGGUUUUGCGGGGACCAUAGAAGAACGAGGAGGCGGAUGAGGAAUUGGGAAGGGUUAGGGUAUGGGAGAAAGAGGGCUUCAAUUUUGGGGAAAUGUAGGAUUUAGGGUUUGAGAGAAGGGUGGUUGUUGCAGCAGCAGCUAUGUAAGAAGCCAUGGAUUAAACAGCAGAGGAGAGGCAAGAGGAGGAGGAAGAAGAGUGAAAAUUAGUUUAGUUGUCUGCCUCUCACCCACACACUUUCUCUCUCUAAGACUAAAUAUCUUCUUCUCACUAUCUAUUGUAUUAUUCGUCAAAGGUGGAGAAAUAGUAAAUGAUUAUGUUGAUGGGAUGAUUAUGUUCGUGGAUGACUUAUUUUAAAAUGACUUAUAAGUCAUAUUAAAUGACUUAUGACCAGUUGGUAAGAUCUCCCAAGGUUUUUUUGGCCUUUCAAUAUCUCCUUUUUCAUCUGUAAGUGAGACUUGGAUAUCAGGUGGCAUAUUAGUGCAUACUUUAGAGAAACAUAAUGCAUAAAAAAUUGUAACCUAAUAUACCUCAAGGAAGAAAAAUGGCAUAAAAGGUUCUAAUAAACAAGCAAGAAGAUAGACUAGUCUCACUGCAGUUUUCAUAAUUAUAGAACAACAAGGUUUGUCUUCUUUGUAAAGCUUCCAGAAUUGGCUUUCCUGUAUAACAUUUUACAUAUGAAUAGUCUUAAGCAAUGAUAGAAGGGUAGCUCUAUAGCUUCCAUAAUAACUAAUAAUUUGACAUAAUUUUUUCAAACAUGAACAAAAAAAUUCAGUAGAAAGAGCCCAAGAAAAGGGCAUGCUAGGGCAUGCUAGUACAUGUUUUUAUAAAAUAGAAAACUAAACAAGUAUCCAAAACAGAGUGCUCUUGACUAUGUUGUUUCCUUAUUUAUGAAAAUGUUUGGCAUUAAUUAAGAAUGAGCCAAGAAAAAUUGCAUACUAUUGAAUACAUCCGCAAAAGUAAAAGCAAAAAACAAAAAGCAUGUUGUUGGGCAUCAACUAUUGAAUAUGCCACUCACGGAAAAGCACUCAUGGAUGGCAGAGUCACAAUUAACACAAAUUUAGUUACAUAUAGUCCAGAAGAUCCAGUUCACUCAAGGAAGUAUAACAUAUGCAAAGGCAGAAUGCAUGAUAUGCAUAUAAAUGCACUUAUUGCAUCCAUAGUAGUCUGCAUGCAUUAUUUCCAGUAUAGUAUAUAAAUAGCUUCUAAAUAUCGAGUUUCCAUUGAGAUCCUUGGUACUAAUUUACAACACCAAAAUAAAGUACACUUACACGUGAUAAGCUUUUCCAUGCCUGCUAUGGAAAGACUGGAAACAUAGAUCAACAAAAUUGGUUAGGAAUAGGCCUGUCAAUUCAUGCUAAGUACUAGAAGGCAAGAAAGGACAACUAAACAAUUAAGGAAAGAUGGUGUAAUAUUAGGUUUCUAAACUUUCGGUUACAACCACUCCCAACAAAGUGCAAGAAAAAAAUAAGUAUACCUCUUGUUGUCUCCUUACAAAAAUAUUUAUGUAACACGAACAAGGAGAAGUUGAAGCGUAUAAACCAAUAUUAAGAAAACCAACAAUUAAAUGAUAUACCAGAACAAAAUAUAUGCUUCAGUAUACAACAUGCCAAAUUACAGGUUUAUGCAUUACAUAGAUAGUUAGUUCAGUUAUAUAAAUACAAGCUUUUAACUUUUAGAAUAAGAGAAUUCUCAUCUGAUGGCUAAGCAAGGUAAAUUCAACAAAUUCCUCUUACAGGUGAAUUUAAGAAACUACAAAAGGUAAGAAUUGUUAAUUUUUUUAUUGAAUUCAUAUAAAUGCAUAUCUUACCUAAUCUUGAAAGGUUGAUAAAAAAGAAACCAUCGUGACACUAUGGCUUAGUAAAUUUAAAGAGGAUUAAUCACAUUAAACAAAUCAUAAAAAUUUGAAUUGAUGCAUCCAUAUGGAAGAACAGAUACUUCUAAGAUCGGAAGAUAUCUAUAUUGGAUAUAGAUAAGAUACCCAAUUCAGAUAUUCUUUGAUGUCUUGUCCAACAUUUUCCAAUGUUUACAUAAAUUGAAAUCAAAUUCUUCAUUUACAAAAAUGAGCACAAUACUUCACCAGCACUCGUAAGACCUCCCAACAAUACGAUAAUAUUAUGGCUUUCUUUUCAUGUCAAAAAAGAAUAAUUGUUAGAAAAAUACAAGAAGAAUUCCAUGAGUCAAAGGAGAGACUAUACCAUAGGAAUAUCCCAGGAAAGGGAAAAACAACACAACACAAGAAUGAAAUGUAUGGAUUCUAAUUGGCAACCAACUAGAUGUAGAAAAGAGGUGUGUGUAUCAUUUACUCUUUCAACAGUUCUACCUCCUCAUGUUCCUUGUUUUGAUUUUCAACUCAAUCCACAGCCUUGAAAUAUAAAAAUGAAAUGUAAUCAAAGACUAAAGGUUAACGUAUAUAAUUGCUCUAAUGGUGCAAAUUCAAGCUACAUUGGUCUAUCUUUCCUUUUGAUGGCUUUAUGUAUAUUAUUUUGAUUACUUCAAGAUUAUUAUUUUGAUUGCUCAAGAUUCCAGAUAGAUGUGAAUGGGAAUUUCAUACUUCACAGUAAUAAAUUAAUGAUACAACAAAAAGAUUAGAAAAUAGAAGCCCAUAUAUGAUUAAAACACUAAUAAAAGAAGAGGUUAUGUAACUUACUAGAAAACACAGAUAAAGAGUGGAAGAAGCUCAAAAAUUAACUGAAAAAAUACAUAUGAAAUACCCAGAUUUAUAAAAUCAAAAGUAAAGAUUAAAAGAGGGUAAAAUUUCAACUCUGCCCACCUCGUAGAUAACCAAAGCUUUUGCACCCACAGAAACGUGAAAUUCAAAGAGCAACAUUAAAUUAUUUAAACAAAAUUAAGAAUUAUUUUUUUAAAAAUAAUCUAAUCUUUCCACAAGGAAAUUCCAAGCAUUACACUACAUUUAAAAGACACUACACUUAAAAGACAAGUCCUAAAACCCUAUUUUCUUUAUAAUGAAUUUACUGAUCUAUAUCAUCUGCUCCAAGCCUCCAACCACUGUUAUAGCAAUAACAAUAGUAAUGAGCAACACGGAUCAACAGGUUAUACAUAUCAUUUAAUAGACCAAACUUUAGCAAUCGAAUGUAUUUUAUUUUAUUUUUAAAAUUCAGAGAUUAAGUGGAGGUCGUUUGAUCAAAUUCAAUUACUAGAAAACAACUAAUGCAUUAUUAUUGACAAAAGCUUUAGCCUUUUAUUCCAAAAAUAAAAACUAAUGACUUUACAGCUGAAGUAAUAAUAGUUUUGGUCUUUUGGUGAGAAAUCCAUAAUUCUAGAGGCUACCCGAAGGUCAUUUUGUCAAACCCAAUUCACAGAACACAACUAGUGCAUUAUUAUUGAAGAAUGAAGAAUUCGUGACUUUACAACUUUAGUUAUCACAUUUCUGGCAUUAAAAAAAACAUAAAUUCAGACAUAAAUUGGAGGUCAUUUGGUGCAAUUGACAGAAACCAACAAGUGUACUAAUUAUAAUUAAAGAACCUAAAGCCAAUACUGCCCCAAAUAAUUCAAAAUCGUGAUUUCAAAAACAGAAGUUAUAACAUUUCAUGUUUCUUCAUAGAAACAAUUCGAACUCAAUAACAAAAUAGGUCCGAUUACAUUUACACAUCUAAACGACUAGAGAGUGGGAGAGUUAGGUCCAAUUUUGAAUUACCUGUUUCGAGUUGCGGCUUGUGUAGUUGCGUUAGGGCAAAUAGUGAGAGAGUCAGAGAAUACUAACUAGGGCAGGGCCACAGAGGAGUGGAGGCGGAGACGCCGGAUGCGAGAAGCCGGAGGUGGAACAGAGUAGCAACUCUCGAUUUGGGGACUGGGGUUUUUUGUUAGGGCACUAGGCAGAGAGUGAGAGAUGAAAGAUUUGAGAGCAACUCCAGCGGCACAAUCU